rnacentral:lncRNA from 1 species
GCUACAAAAAUGGAUUCUCGCAAUUUUAUUUUAUUUUAAAAUAUCUUUUUAUGGAUGAUGAAAAUUUGUACUACCUUUAUUUUUCAAAAAAUAACAAGCAGAAACUAUCUACUCACUAGAAAAUAUCUGCAAACAUCCUUGUUAACCACUGCUGUGCCAACUACUCCUUUAAGAGUUCAAUUGUUCAAGUUCAAAGUCAAAUCUUGAUGUAAGGGUGUUUAUUUAAGAGAAUAACUAUUGGGGGUUGAUCUAACAUGCUAAGAGUGUUACGGCACUAACCUUGAAUACUGAUUUAAGUAUUAUUUUUUUUCACAAUAAUCCAUACAAUACAAGCACACAUAGCUCUAAUAACAAUGUCACUUGUUCAUGUUUACGAAUAAUACUGACGAAUCCCCCGCGACAGAACUGACAGAUAGAGGUGUAAUCCUUGCACAAAGGAUAUGAAGACUAUAUUUAUCCACAACACCUAGAUAGAAAUUAUUCAGUUCCGCAUAUAUUUUGUAACUUCCAUUGUAGUUUAGAAGCAGCAGCAGCAUUCUUCCAGCAAACAGCAGCAACAAAGCGCAGCCAAACUGCACAUGCAAAGCCACACGAAAAGUUUAAUCACAGUGCCUUCACCAUAUAUUUCUAGCAUAUGUAGAUUAAAAGCAUACCAAGUAACUAAUAUGUAGAAACAAAAUAUAUUCAGAAAGUUAUUAUGGUACUAAUCCUGCAAAGCCCGUCAGUAUUAAGAUUGGAACAAAAUACAAAAGAUGAUAAAUUUAACGAUUCAUAUUGAGAUAUAAAUUUCAACAUAGUUGUUAGCCAUGAAAUAAGUCAUGUUGCUGCAUAUACCAAUGUUAGAAACUAAAAAGUGUUCACAAGACAAAAAGGAGCAAGCUACACCUAAUUCGUCAAACAUUUCAGAAGCAAAUACAAAUAUACACGCCAAGUUUUCACCAGUCAGAGAGAUCCCAUUAGUAUUACUAUCAUGUAACAUGGCCAUGACAUAAUUCCUUUCACUGAACAAAUUUUUGAACAUAUAAAAUAAACAAAGCAAACUCCAUGGCAUUUGCAGAAAUCACAUGCAAUGCAGAACAAAAAUUGGGCAAGGCGGUAGUUCUAGUUGGGAUAAGUGCCUUGAACGGGAAUUGUACAACUGCUUAAAGAAGACAAUUUGCAUCGUACUCCCAGCAUGAUGCGCUUUAAAUUCUGAGAAAAAGAGGACUAAAAUACAGAUGUCUUGGUGCAAAUUGCAAACCUUAGCUCAAUAUUGAUUGAUAAUAAUGUCAGACACCCAAACAUGGUCCUGCCACAACCAAUUUUUUUUUUUUGACAUAAAAUCGUGAAAGCUCCCUCAAUACUUUUAUAUGAACUCUUACAAGCAACACCCAAUUACGUGUCUUACUAGCAUGUACAUAUAGCAGUGCAAGACGGAAAGCUCUAAAAUGAAACUAUGGUCCAAAACCCGAUCAAAUGCAACUAGAUAGUUCUAGAAUUCUAGUUCAGUUCAGAACAUGGUGUAAAGAACAGCUCCCAUACUAAUCGCAGCUCAUUUAAUAUAUCUAUCUAACAAAAUACAGCUGAUUUUGAAUUUUCUGUUCACCCUAAUAAAUCAUCUNNNNNNNNNNNNNNNNNNNNNNNNNNNNNNNNNNNNNNNNNNNNNNNNNNNNNNNNNNNNNNNNNNNNNNNNNNNNNNNNNNNNNNNNNNNNNNNNNNNNCUACGGUGGCCAUUAAAUUGGUUCAUUUGGAAUUUAAAAUACAGUCGUGAAAUAGUUUAUUGGCUAUAUAACUUGAUCAAAUAAUAAAAGCUAUUGAUGUUGUGUUGGGACAAAUGUUGAUGUAUUUUGCUGAAGUAUUUUUUUGAAUUGCUAAUUUGUGAACUUGUUAGACUGCUGCUCCUACAUUGGGAUAAAUGAAUUGUUAGAUUCUAGAAUGUUAAAUAUAGGUUACAUGAUCUCCCUUCCUUUUCCGUGUAUGUGCAUGUGUGACUGGCUUCCUGUUUCUUCGAUGGUGGAGUUUACCUAUUUGUUGCAGCAUACAUCCAUGUAAUAUGUCAAUAUAUAAAGUUUAAUGUCCAGGGUUUGCAAGUUAUAAUCACACUGUCUCUUAAUUAUUAUCAGUAGUAGAUAAUCUGCUUUUGACAGUUCCCUGCCCUCACAUUAUUUACUGUUUUACAUGCUAAUUUGCUGGUGAGUGCCACUGCAAUGUCCUUUAGAAAAGGAGCUCAAUUAGUUAGUUGGAUAGUAAUAGCUGCUUAUUUAGACAUUUAUUUGAAACUAACCCUAGUUUUGGUAUUCUUUAUCUUUGAUUUCUACAUUCAGGUUUCUUAGGGAGCUGGACUUGCAAGAAAAUGAAGUUGAAGAUCAUAGAGGGCAGUGGCUUAGCUGCUUUCCCGACAGCUGCACCUCGCUUGUCUCCUUGAAUUUUGCAUGCCUGAAAGGAGAAGUUAAUCUCUCUGCUCUUGAGAGACUGGUGGCAAGGUGUCGUAAUCUUAGAAGUCUCAGGUUGAACCAUUCAGUUCCUGAUGAUGCUCUUCAGAAGAUUUUUGUGCAAGCACCUCAGUUGGUGGACUUGGGGGUAGGGUCCUAUGUCCAUGAUCCAGAUUCAGAGACAUACAGCAAUCUAAAGAACGUGAUCCAGAAAUGUACAUCAAUUAGGAGCUUAUCGGGAUUCUUGGAGGUUGCUCCUUGCUGCUUGCCUGCUGUUUAUCCGAUUUGUGUGAACUUGACCUCCUUGAACUUGAGUUAUGCACCAGGGAUCUACAGCAGCGAUCUUAGAAAGCUAAUCCGUCAUUGCAGGAAACUGCAACGCCUAUGGGUUUGAAUUUUAACCCUCNNNNNNNNNNNNNNNNNNNNNNNNNNNNNNNNNNNNNNNNNNNNNNNNNNNNNNNNNNNNNNNNNNNNNNNNNNNNNNNNNNNNNNNNNNNNNNNNNNNNUAUUUUUUCUACAGAUAUUAGAUUAUAUUGGAGAUAAAGGGCUAGGUGUUGUAGCUUCUACUUGUAAGGAACUGCAGGAACUUAGAGUUUUCCCUUCUGAUCUUUAUGGUGUUGGUAACGCUGCUGUAACUGAGGAAGGUUUGGUGGCUAUAUCAGCUGGUUGCCCCAAGCUGAAUUCCUUACUCUAUUUCUGCCAGCAGAUGACAAACGCUGCACUCAUAACAGUUGCCAAAAACUGCCCAAACUUCAUUCGGUUCAGACUAUGCACACUUAAUCCAACUAUACCAGAUCCAGUGACAAUGCAGCCACUGGAUGAAGGUUUCGGUGCAAUUGUUCAGUCAUGCAAGGGUCUCAAGCGGUUGUCACUCUCUGGCCUCCUAACUGACCAGGUUUUCCUUUAUAUAGGAAUGUAUGCAGAGCAGCUUGAAAUGCUGUCAGUUGCGUUUGCUAGCGGGAGUGACAAGGGAAUGCUUUAUGUGUUGAAUGGCUGCAAGAAGCUUAAAAAGCUAGAAAUCAGGGAUAGCCCUUUUGGGAAUGUGGCACUUCUAGCGGACGUGGGAAAGUAUGAAACAAUGCGAUCCCUUUGGAUGUCGUCCUGUGAAGUAACUCUUGGAGCCUGCAAGGCACUUGCCAAGGAGAUGCCAACCCUAAAUGUGGAACUUAUUAAUGAAAGUGCACAUAUGGAUGCUAGUUCUGAUGAUAGGCAAAAAGUAGAGAAGAUGUACCUGUAUCGGACCUUGGUUGGGCCAAGAAGUGACGCACCAGAUUUUGUGUGGACAUUAUAGAUGUAUAUGUCCAUUGUAAAUUUGUGUUUCUCCUGCCCAAAAUUUCAUCAGCAGGUGUAGUAGUUCUAUUUUGCUUAGAUGAACUAAACUCUGUACUUGACUCUAAUGAUUAAUUCUAAUGGAGUUUAAAUCCAUCACUUUUCAUCAGUAGAAACUGGGGGUAAAAGUAGUUUUUUUUUGGCAUAUUAUUUUGAGCAAAAGAGAAAGUAGAGGAUUGAUUGCAUAGGCAGUAGACCAGUAGUACCUGGUGUUUGCUAAGUUGUUAAAAAAGAAAAGACAAAUUAAGAAGAUAAAAUUUUAUAAUUCUGAACUGAUUAAAAACAAAUUGUAUGAUAGAGCAACUUUUGCACUAUAUUUAUAAUGCCACGGGAAGGAACCAGAAAAAUAUCAUGUCACAUUUUAAAUUUAGCAUGAAAUGAAACGAAAGAUGCUACAAAAAUGGAUUCUCGCAAUUUUAUUUUAUUUUAAAAUAUCUUUUUAUGGAUGAUGAAAAUUUGUACUACCUUUAUUUUUCAAAAAAUAACAAGCAGAAACUAUCUACUCACUAGAAAAUAUCUGCAAACAUCCUUGUUAACCACUGCUGUGCCAACUACUCCUUUAAGAGUUCAAUUGUUCAAGUUCAAAGUCAAAUCUUGAUGUAAGGGUGUUUAUUUAAGAGAAUAACUAUUGGGGGUUGAUCUAACAUGCUAAGAGUGUUACGGCACUAACCUUGAAUACUGAUUUAAGUAUUAUUUUUUUUCACAAUAAUCCAUACAAUACAAGCACACAUAGCUCUAAUAACAAUGUCACUUGUUCAUGUUUACGAAUAAUACUGACGAAUCCCCCGCGACAGAACUGACAGAUAGAGGUGUAAUCCUUGCACAAAGGAUAUGAAGACUAUAUUUAUCCACAACACCUAGAUAGAAAUUAUUCAGUUCCGCAUAUAUUUUGUAACUUCCAUUGUAGUUUAGAAGCAGCAGCAGCAUUCUUCCAGCAAACAGCAGCAACAAAGCGCAGCCAAACUGCACAUGCAAAGCCACACGAAAAGUUUAAUCACAGUGCCUUCACCAUAUAUUUCUAGCAUAUGUAGAUUAAAAGCAUACCAAGUAACUAAUAUGUAGAAACAAAAUAUAUUCAGAAAGUUAUUAUGGUACUAAUCCUGCAAAGCCCGUCAGUAUUAAGAUUGGAACAAAAUACAAAAGAUGAUAAAUUUAACGAUUCAUAUUGAGAUAUAAAUUUCAACAUAGUUGUUAGCCAUGAAAUAAGUCAUGUUGCUGCAUAUACCAAUGUUAGAAACUAAAAAGUGUUCACAAGACAAAAAGGAGCAAGCUACACCUAAUUCGUCAAACAUUUCAGAAGCAAAUACAAAUAUACACGCCAAGUUUUCACCAGUCAGAGAGAUCCCAUUAGUAUUACUAUCAUGUAACAUGGCCAUGACAUAAUUCCUUUCACUGAACAAAUUUUUGAACAUAUAAAAUAAACAAAGCAAACUCCAUGGCAUUUGCAGAAAUCACAUGCAAUGCAGAACAAAAAUUGGGCAAGGCGGUAGUUCUAGUUGGGAUAAGUGCCUUGAACGGGAAUUGUACAACUGCUUAAAGAAGACAAUUUGCAUCGUACUCCCAGCAUGAUGCGCUUUAAAUUCUGAGAAAAAGAGGACUAAAAUACAGAUGUCUUGGUGCAAAUUGCAAACCUUAGCUCAAUAUUGAUUGAUAAUAAUGUCAGACACCCAAACAUGGUCCUGCCACAACCAAUUUUUUUUUUUUGACAUAAAAUCGUGAAAGCUCCCUCAAUACUUUUAUAUGAACUCUUACAAGCAACACCCAAUUACGUGUCUUACUAGCAUGUACAUAUAGCAGUGCAAGACGGAAAGCUCUAAAAUGAAACUAUGGUCCAAAACCCGAUCAAAUGCAACUAGAUAGUUCUAGAAUUCUAGUUCAGUUCAGAACAUGGUGUAAAGAACAGCUCCCAUACUAAUCGCAGCUCAUUUAAUAUAUCUAUCUAACAAAAUACAGCUGAUUUUGAAUUUUCUGUUCACCCUAAUAAAUCAUCUGGGCCGUCCAAGGUUUGGGAUAAAUCUCACCGUCCAUGUAGUGCCGGAGGCACGGGACACAACUAAUAUACUUAUAUUAUCCUUGAGUACAUAAAUCAAUAAAUGUCCAGAUCCUCCAGGAUCAGGUUAUACUGUUAACCAAGAGAAAGUAGAAAACUAGAAUUUUCAUUUACUUAAAAAUUGUUUACAGAUAAGUUGGACAGUCUCUCAUCUUUCAGGUCUAUAAGAAUCAAUAUAGCUCUUAUAUCUUGAUUUUUUAUAAGAGUCGCAAAUAGAAACAUACUCAAAUGUAUUGAUUUUUUAUAUUCACCAACUAGACGAUACAGUAACUUUAUAUUUGACAACCUCAUUGUUAACGCCUGAUUUUGUACGCCUGACGAAAUCACCCAAAAGGACAGGCCAAAAUAGCGCCAUCGGUUGAUGGAGUAAUUGUUGUGAAAGCAAACUCACGAAAUACACUCACAUAAACAUAAAUAAAGAAAUAUAAAGUAUGAACACAAGAAUUUACGUGGAAACCCAAUUGGGGAAAAACCACGGAAAGAGAGUAAUCUACUAUAAUAAUAUUGAGAGUACAAGUGGUAUAUUUGUGUUGUUGUCCUCUUGUGCCCUAUCAUAUUGUCUUCUAUUAUGUUGUCCCCUUAACCCCAGCUUGUAGCCGUAUAUAUAGAAGUAAUCUCCACCUACAUCCAACUAGGAGAAGGAUUCCUUAUCUCUCCAAAUAAGGAAAUACAAUCCUAUUUUAAUAAGGACUCUUCCACUGUCAUAAUAAAUACAUAUGAGCCAACACCAGAUCCGGACCAUUAAAUAGAUUGGGCUGUAGCCCAAAUAAUCACACUCCAACACUCAUAAAACCUGCUUUCCUAACCCUCUAAAAGGCAGAAAGGAAGAAAUGCGAAAAGAAAAAUAAUAGUAGUCAACCUAUUUAACCAUGAAGACAAUAUUCAGUAGGAGUAUAUGAGAGUGUUAUAGUUCACAUGCUAGGAUAAUGGUUUUAAUGAAACUGAAAAGGAACAAUUCAAUUCUUACAAAGGAAAUUAUAGGCUAAGGCUGAGCUUAUGUAACUAGUACAGAUAGAUAGAUACGCACCUAUUUAUUAAAAACUGACAAGCCAAGCAAAUGGACCAACACCAUUUCAAAGAACUGACAGUGAUUCUUAGCUUACUACAAAUCCAAGUUCUUAGAAAACAAAAACGGACUGACUAGGCGCAAUGAACCAAUCAUAUCCAAGUCAUCCAGUUUUAAUACAUAGAAGAUUAUCUAGUUAUGGUCUAAAUUCCCACGUAGAAUAAACAGAAGACGGAAAUUCAGAGCUCAUAGAAGCACAAUUAUCAGCUAAAUCAAUUUUCAACAAAGAGAUCAGAAACAAACACAACAAACAACAAUUUUAUCUACCAAUGAAAGAACCUUAGUACAAAUUAACACACACGUGUGUGUUUUUACACAUAAAGAGGGGAUGCAUAUACAUACCAGCCUUUGAAAAAAGAGCAACAACCACCCUGAUCAUUGUCUUCUUGAUGCUCAUGGUGGACAUGAUAAACCUGCUGUGGUGGAGGAGGAGGUGGAGGAUACCCUCCUCCACUGAAAUACCCUUGAUACCCUUGACCUGGGGGUGGCGGAUGUGGUGGCCGCGGGUACGCUUCAUAGGGCGGCGGUGCAGAUGGGUAUCCUGGUGGUGGAGGAGAAGGAGGCCCACCAUACCCUUCAAAAAUAACAACCACCACAAAAUUGAAGUGCUAAAGUUUAGACGUUGAAAGUCAACAAUAAAAGUCAAAUUGAAAAUUGAAAAUAUAGCAAAAUCAAAGGCCAGAAUAUGAAAUCAAGAGGAAAAGAAGACAAGAAUUAGUGAAAUUGAAGAAGAACAAAAAAGAAAUGAAUGAAUACCUGGGGAAGGGUACUGGUGGUAUGGGCCUUGAGGGAGUCUCUGGUGACUCAUGGGAUAUUAUCUCUCUCUCUCUCUCUCUUCCCUUUUCUUCCCUGAGAAAGUGCUAGACGUAGGAGAACCAGCGGUAAUUGCCACCGGCGAGUAGUUACAGGUGCGAACUGAAUUUAAUUAUUUAUCUCGGCUGUCUGUAGCCGCUUACGUCGGUGGUAAUGAGAUCAAAUUAACACCUUAUUAUAAUAAUUACAGAAAAUUUAAUUUUAUUAAUAACAAGUUGGAUCUUAUUAUACAUGUGAUUCUCUUAGCUAGCUUCUCCCGUACUCUUCUUUUCUUUUCUUCUUCUCCUUCCUUCUUUCUAUCUCUUUAUCUCUUAUUUAUUCUUUCUAAAUUUAUGUAGCAAUUAUAAGAGUAUAUUUAUACACU